GGUUCUCAUGGAGCAGAUACGCCUGAAUGUGACCAACCUGCUGAUUGCUGCAAAUAGCUGCGCUUUGAAGCACAUACCACGGGAAGAGAAAUACGCCCUGGUAAUGUUGGCAUACUUUGCGGAUUUUAUUUCUGGAUAGAGCAAAGCUGGUCCCAAACGAACCAAUGCCAUGUCACCCACUGCUUACUAACGUAAGCGCUGUCAUCUACCUCAUCUGAAUACAGCCAUUCAACUUCA